UAUAUAUUAUCUCUCCAUCAAUUUUUAACAUUAAGAAUGUUUAAUUAUUUUAUAAAAUGUUAAAUAAUAAUAUGUAAAGACUUAUAAAUGAAUCAGCUUUGGAAAUGGCCACAUGGCAUAGGAUAGGUUGAACUAAUAUUAGUAAAGUAACAUGAACUUAAUAUUUUAAGUUCAUACAUUUCUGAAGAACAGUCACCCUUUCAACGUUUUUCUCCUUCCUUACUCUGUCAUCUCUCCAUCUCAACUCCAAUUCUAAUUGUUAACUUGUUGAGUUGAAGCUACCUAGGCGAUCAAGACAUCAAGAGCAACGCUUCCAACCGAUCAAUUUCUCUAUUCCUCGACUGGUACUGUUAGGGUUUUCCUAAGGAGCAGGACAUCUGUUGAUCAUCCUUGAGCAUAGCUGUUUGUACUAGAGAAGCUGAUGAUGUACCUUUGGAGCAAGCGUUGGAAAAUGAAGAAGAAACAACUCUUAGUUCUUAGGAUGGCUUAGAUAGUCCCUUUAUUUUGAGAGACUUCCUGUAUUUUGAUACACUCUUAAGUUGUAAAAUUUGGAUUUUUCAGCCAUAUAUUUUGGA